GGAAGGAUCAUUAUUGAAUAAACUUGAGCAGGCUGUUGCUGGCCCCUUGGGGUAUCGUGCACGCUUGUCAUCUUUAUCUCUCCCACUGUGCACAUAUUGUAGACCCUGGAGUUGUAAUUGUUCAUAUUUGAUAGAUUGAGGACUGCUUUAAAAGCUUUUCCUUGCUUCUCCAGGUCUAUGUUAUUUUUUCACAACCACCAAACUAGAAUGUUGAAUUGGGUCUUUGUWCCUAUAAAGUUUAAAUAUACAACUUUCAGCAACGGAUCUCUUGGCUCUCGCAUCGAUGAAGAACGCAGCGAAAUGCGAUAAGUAAUGUGAAUUGCAGAAUUCAGUGAAUCAUCGAAUCUUUGAACGCAUCUUGCGCUCCUUGGUAUUCCGAGGAGCAUGCCUGUUUGAGUGUCAUUAAGUUCUCAACUACACCAGUUCUUAACCAUUGGUGUGGCUUGGAUAGUGGGGGAUUAUGUUUGCAGGCUUUAAAUUCAAAGUCUGCUCCCCUGAAAUGUAUCAGUAGUAUCUGAGCAAGAACUACUAUGGGCGUGAUAAUUAUCUAUGCCUUGGURGACUUGCAUGAACAGAUUACACUGCUUCUAACAUCACCUUUGACAAAUUUGACCUCAGAUCAGGUAGGACUACCCGCUGAACUUAAGCAUAUCAAUGAGCGGAGGAAAAGACACUAACAAGAUUCCCCUAGUAAC
rnacentral:rRNA from 1 species